CAUUCUUUCAAGGUUCUGCAAUUACAUUAUUCUGUUUCUCACUUUUCACAAUCCACCAUCAUCCUUUCCGUGCUAUUUGUUUGCGGACGGAACCAAGGAGGCCAUAACCAAUUCUAUUUUCAUUGUGCCAGAGUUGAGAGCCAAGCCAAUCUCGAUCUCGAUUCAGCAUCAAUGGUGGAGCGGGAUCCGGAACUCGUUUAUGUCAUUGACGAACUCGACGAUCAGUCAUUCUUCUCGCUUUGCUUUGUUCCUUCAGCGUUCAUCAGAACUUGGCUUCACAAUAACACCGAGAGAUUGCAGGUCUGUGGAAUAGAGUUCUCGAUGACGGCAGCAUGAUUGAAGGUUUCUAUUGCGUGCUAUUGAGCUUCUAAACGACGUAGAAGAUUUUGUUAAAUCAGCUGCGAUACGCAUUAUACGACACUCGUUCUCCAGAUCUCUUUCCAUUGAUUCUGUUGUUACAACAUGAAGAUUGUAAUGAAGUGAUUUCAGUUCGGUAGUAAGUCGCUGUUCCUUAAGAUUCAUAGUCCUCUAUUUGAUAUAUACAUAGAUGUUUGAUGAGUUGAUGACGAGCACUAAUUAAUUACUGUGAUAUAUACACAGAAUAUCAUGUUCCUUUAGCAGUAACACCUCUUCGCGAUUGAUACAGGUCAUCACCUAAGAUCUAAUGGUUGCGGCGCAUAGUCCAGAGAGGAAACUAUUUGUCUGAUGAAAUAUUCGUUAACGUAAGUUUAAAUUUUACUAUGCUGUUGAUUUCUCUGGAUUGUUGAUAUUUACUCAUUUGAAGAAGUUAUCAUUUAUUGUUUAUGGUGCUGUUCUUAACUAGAUUUUGAGAUAUCAUUUUCAUCUAGAGUUGUAUUGAUCCAUAAUAUUUUCUCCGUAACUCGUUAGAUUGCUUGGUUGAGAUUAUCCAUUCCAUAUAGGUAGUUCCAUCUCUUGCACUCAUCCAUUCGAUGAAGCUGGUUUGUCAUUCAAGAAGAUUGAGAACAAAAAUAUGAAGAAUUUAGAGUACAUUGUGAAUUUUUCACAUGUUCAACUGUUUCUGUCUUUUCAAUGCUCAUGUAUGAAUACUCUUACUGUUACUAUUAGAACAAAGUUGUUUGGAUACCAUUAGUGUGGUGUGCAGAUUGACGAACUUACUUGGACCUAGUCCUGGUUUGUCUCUGGAUAGCCUUUUUUUCUUUGCUUGCGGUGAAACGACUCGGUUUUAGGUAUUCAUUCCUUGGUUGUGUGUAACUUUAGAUGCGAUUUCUCUUUUCCAUGUCCGUCUCUCUCAGUUCUCAUGUUUAGUGUUUAGAACUUUUACUUUGAAUAGUAUUUACACGUGGACAGGUCACAUUUCCUUAGGAGAACUUUAAGGAAGUGAUCACUAUUUUCCCAUGCUAACUGAACUUUAUGAAGUGCUUUCCUUGCGUUAAGGCUUAAAGUGAGUGCUUCGAUUUUCAAACUUGUAGUUACAAAGUGACUCUUCCGAUAUCUAUGUAUUGGUAAUACCAUCUUUGUUCCAUGACGAGAGAUAUGAGCAUGAAGGUCAGGGCUAAUGCGUUUUAUGCAAUAAAGAAGUUUGAAAUUGUUUCCGAGGAUCUCCUUCUAUAAAGCUUCUCCUAGAGAGUCUUGAGUAGAAGAUGAAUUCUAUCAGGUAACUUAUGUUUGUAUAUAUGAUUGAAAUGUACCCCUAUAUCUCCAAAAUCGUUGUAAUCAAUCAUUCUUGACACGCUUUUCUUUUCUAAAUUUAAUCUUGUAGUUUCUUCAUGUUUUACGCCACGAGGCCUUCGUUGAUAAUUUUUCCUCUUGCUUGUUUAAGCACCUUACCAUUACCAUAAUGAUUCUCAGUAUCCUCCUGCAAACGUAUUAUCUUAUUAGAUUGCAGUGUUAAAUGAUUUUAAGUGGACAAUCACUGACUUUUUUUUUUUUUCGAGAGAGGUAAAAGACAAUUCAGGAAAUGAAUAGAAGCUUUACAGAAUGAAAUCCCAUCUUGUAAAUCAGAUAUACUUGCCAUUGCUUCUCUUAAGACGCCUGCAAGAUACAUGUGCAGCAGCUCAAAGAUGGUGAUGCCAUAGAAUCUAUCAAGACUAUGGUGCAAGACUUUG